rnacentral:rRNA from 1 species
AAAUUGAAGAGUUUGAUCAUGGCUCAGAUUGAACGCUGGCGGCAGGCCUAACACAUGCAAGUCGAACGGUAACAGGAAGUAGCUUGCUGCUUCGCUGACGAGUGGCGGACGGGUGAGUAAUGUCUGGGAAACUGCCUGAUGGAGGGGGAUAACUACUGGAAACGGUGGCUAAUACCGCAUAACGUCGCAAGACCAAAGAGGGGGACCUUCGGGCCUCUUGCCAUCAGAUGUGCCCAGAUGGGAUUAGCUUGUUGGUGAGGUAACGGCUCACCAAGGCGACGAUCCCUAGCUGGUCUGAGAGGAUGACCAGCCACACUGGAACUGAGACACGGUCCAGACUCCUACGGGAGGCAGCAGUGGGGAAUAUUGCACAAUGGGCGCAAGCCUGAUGCAGCCAUGCCGCGUGUAUGAAGAAGGCCUUCGGGUUGUAAAGUACUUUCAGCGGGGAGGAAGGUGUUGUGGUUAAUAACCGCAGCAAUUGACGUUACCC